UGGGGAAUAUUGCGCAAUGGGCGAAAGCCUGACGCAGCGACGCCGCGUGGGGGAUGACGGCCUUCGGGUUGUAAACCUCUUUCAGCAGGGACGAAGUUGACGUGUACCUGCAGAAGAAGCGCCGGCUAACUACGUGCCAGCAGCCGCGGUAAUACGUAGGGCGCAAGCGUUGUCCGGAAUUAUUGGGCGUAAAGAGCUCGUAGGUGGCUGGUCACGUCUGCCGUGAAAGCCCGCAGCUUAACUGCGGGUCUGCGGUGGAUACGGGCCGGCUAGAGGUAGGUAGGGGCAAGUGGAAUUCCUGGUGUAGCGGUGAAAUGCGCAGAUAUCAGGAGGAACACCGGUGGCGAAGGCGGCUUGCUGGGCCUUACCUGACGCUGAGGAGCGAAAGCGUGGGGAGCGAACA
rnacentral:rRNA from 1 species